rnacentral:rRNA from 1 species
UGGGGAAUAUUGGACAAUGGGCGAAAGCCUGAUCCAGCCAUGCCGCGUGUGUGAAGAAGGCCUUUUGGUUGUAAAGCACUUUAAGCGAGGAGGAGGCUACUUAGAUUAAUACUCUAGGAUAGUGGACGUUACUCGCAGAAUAAGCACCGGCUAACUCUGUGCCAGCAGCCGCGGUAAUACAGAGGGUGCGAGCGUUAAUCGGAUUUACUGGGCGUAAAGCGUGCGUAGGCGGCUUUUUAAGUCGGAUGUGAAAUCCCUGAGCUUAACUUAGGAAUUGCAUUCGAUACUGGGAAGCUAGAGUAUGGGAGAGGAUGGUAGAAUUCCAGGUGUAGCGGUGAAAUGCGUAGAGAUCUGGGGGAAUACCGAUGGCGAAGGCAGCCAUCUGGCCUAAUACUGACGCUGAGGUACGAAAGCAUGGGGAGCAAACAGG